UGACCUCAGAUCAGGCAAGGCUACCCGCUGAAUUUAAGCAUAUUAAUAAGCGGAGGAAAAGAAACUAACAAGGAUUCCCCUAGUAAUGGCGAAUGAAGCGGGAACAGCUCAAAUUUAAAAUCUCCGUUGCUUGCAACGGCGAAUUGUAGUUUCGAGAAGCACUUUCUCGGCGGAUCCGAGGUCGUCCAAGUUGCUUGGAACAGCACGUCGUAGAGGGUGAAAACCCCGUCUGCGGCGACCUCGGCCGUUCACGAUGUGCUUUCGACGAGUCGGGUUGUUUGGGAAUGCAGCCCAAAAUGGGUGGUAAACUCCAUCUAAAGCUAAAUAUUGGCACGAGACCGAUAGCGAACAAGUNCCGUGAGGGAAAGAUGAAAAGCACUUUGAAAAGAGAGUUAAAAAGUACGUGAAACCGUUAAAAGGGAAACGAAUGGGGUUAGCAAUGCGUCGUGCGAGAUUCAGCCGGUGGGUGGGCCAGGCGGGCGGUUGGCGGAUCUGAAUGGACCGCUGCCGUUCGGGUUGGUUUCCCGACCGUCGCACUUCUCGCAGGCGCGCGCCAACGUCGGUUAGGGCUGGGUUUCAAAGGCGGUGGAAAGGUAGGUUUGGACUCUCGGGCCCGAACUGUUACAGUCCUCCGUUUGUCAUGGCCCGGACCUGACCGAGGAGCUUGCGGUGCAUGCCCUUUCGGCUAGGGUCCCGUCUUCCCGGUCGGUCGUCGAAUGCGGUGGACUGCGUGCAGUGCGCCGCGACUGCUGCCGGUCGCGAGGGCGGUGAUUUCGUACUAUGCACCCACGACGUUGGCGAUCAUAUGGCCUCAUCCGACCCGUCUUGAAACACGGACCAAGGAGUCUAACAUGUGUGCGAGUCUUUGAGUGAUCGAAACUCCGAGGCGUAAUGAAAGUGAAGGCGACUUCGGUCGCUGAGGUGAGAGCCUUUUUCCACAAAAAAAAGGCGCAUCAUCGACCGACCUAUUCUACUCUUAGAAAGGUUUGAGUAAGAGCGCAUCUGUUGGGACCCGAAAGAUGGUGAACUAUGCCUGAAUAGGGUGAAGCCAGAGGAAACUCUGGUGGAGGCUCGUAGCAU
rnacentral:ncRNA from 1 species